rnacentral:rRNA from 1 species
UUGAUCCUGGCUCAGGACAGACGCUGGCGGCAUUUUUAACACAUGCAAGUCGAACGGGCUCUGGCUACGACAGAGCUAGUGGCGGACGGCUGAGUAACACGUAGGAAUCUGCCUCUAGGACGGGGACAACGGUUGGAAGCGACUGCUAAUACCCGAUAUGCCUAAGGAUGAAAUGCGCUUGUAGCGCCUAGAGAUGAGCCUGCGGGGGAUUAGCUAGUUGGUGAGGUAAAGGCUCACCAAGGCGACGAUCCCUAGCUGACCUGAGAGGGUGAACAGCCAGAGUGGGACUGAGACACGGCCCACACCCCUACGGGGGGCAGCAGUGGAGAAUUUUCCGCAAUGGGCGCAAGCCUGACGGAGGAAUGCCGCGUGGAGGAUGACGGCCUAUGGGUUGUAAACCCCUUUUCUUCGGGACGACGACAGACGGUACCGAAGGAAUAAGCCCCGACAAACUUCGUGCCAGCAGUCGCGGUAAUACGGAGGGGGCAAGCGUUGUCCGGGAUUACUGGGCGUAAAGGGUCCGUAGGCGGCCUGUUAAGUCCACCGUAAAAGCUCAGGGCUCAACCCUGUGAAGCGGUGGAAACUGGCAAGCUAGAGGCCGGUAGAGGCAAAGGGAAUUCUCGGUGUAGGGGUGACAUCCGUUGAUAUCGAGAGGAACACCAGUAGCGAAAGCGCUUUGCUGGGCCGUGCCUGACGCUGAGGGACGAAAGCGUGGGGAGCAAACAGGAUUAGAUACCCUGGUAGUCCACGCCGUAAACGAUGAAGACUAGCUGUUGGGGUUUCGAUCGCCUCAGUGGCGUAGCUAACGCGAUAAGUCUUCCGCCUGGGGAGUACGUGCGCAAGCAUGAAACUCAAAGGAAUUGACGGGGAGCCGCACAAGCGGUGGAGUGUGUGGUUUAAUUCGAUGCGACGCGAAGAACCUUACCUGGGUUUGACAUCCCUGGAAUCCCGCCGAAAGGCAGGAGUGCCGCAAGGAGCCAGGAGACAGGUGGUGCAUGGUUGUCGUCAGCUCGUGUCGUGAGAUGUUGGGUUAAGUCCCGCAACGAGCGCAACCCUCGUCACAAGUUGCCAUCAUUCAGUUGGGCACUCUUGUGAGACCGCUAGCGACAAGCUGGAGGAAGGAGAGGAUGACGUCAAAUCAGCAUGCCCCUUACACCCAGGGCUACACACGCACUACAAUGCCAUAGACAACGGGCAGCCAACCAGCGAUGGCGAGCUAAUCCCUUAAACUAUGGCCCAGUUCAGAUUGCAGGCUGCAACUCGCCUGCAUGAAGCAGGAAUCGCUAGUAAUCGCAGGUCAGCAUACUGCGGUGAAUCCGUUCCCGGCUCUUGUACACACCGCCCGUCACACCAUGGAAGUUGGUUUUACCCGAAGUCGUUACCCUAACCCGCAAGGGAGGGGACGCCGAAGGUAGGGCUGAUGACUGGGGUGAAGUC